UACGUAGGGUGCGAGCGUUAAUCGGAAUUACUGGGCGUAAAGCGUGCGCAGGCGGUUCGUUGUGUCCGUCGUGAAAGCCCCGGGCUUAACCUGGGAACUGCGAUGGAAACUAGCGAGCUGGAGUGUGGCAGAGGGGGGUGGAAUUCCCGGUGUAGCAGUGAAAUGCGCAGAUAUCGGGAAGAACACCCGUGGCGAAGGCGGCUUUCUGGGACGGUACUGACGCUGAGACGCGAAAGCGUGGGGAGCGAACAGG
rnacentral:rRNA from 1 species